rnacentral:rRNA from 1 species
UGGGGAAUAUUGGACAAUGGGCGCAAGCCUGAUCCAGCAAUGCCGCGUGUGUGAAGAAGGCCUUCGGGUUGUAAAGCACUUUUAUCUGGAGCGAAAUCUGCAGGGCUAAUACCCAUGCAGUCUGACGGUACCAGAGGAAUAAGCACCGGCUAACUUCGUGCCAGCAGCCGCGGUAAUACGAAGGGUGCAAGCGUUACUCGGAAUUACUGGGCGUAAAGCGUGAGUAGGUGGUUUCUUAAGUCUGCUGUGAAAGCCCCGGGCUCAACCUGGGAAUUGCAGUGGAUACUGGGAAGCUAGAGUGCGGUAGAGGGUAGUGGAAUUCCCGGUGUAGCGGUGAAAUGCGUAGAGAUCGGGAGGAACACCAGUGGCGAAGGCGGCUACCUGGACCAGCACUGACACUGAGUCACGAAAGCGUGGGGAGCAAACA